rnacentral:lncRNA from 1 species
CUCUAAAUCUAGGGUUAGUGUGUUUGUCUAAGGGAAGUUGGCCUAUGCUAUUUAUUCUUGCUUAAUUUAUUUAUUUACAAGGGAAUAUGUUAGUUUUAGGGGAAACUGCUUGAUUAAACAGAAAGAUAAAGAAAAAGUUUUUUUUCUCAUAUGGUAGUUCAUAUCUCAAGUCCAAUCUUGAUUUGGCACCCUUAAACCAUAGUCUAGUUUUCAUUGGUAUAAAU